ACUUUUUUUCAUAAUAAUACUUAAGAUGUUACUUGAUGCAGAAGCAGAUGUAUGAAUUCAGGUAUCUUCUGUUAAGCCAGAGUUUUCACUAAAUUUUUUUCUUUUGGAAAUACAGCUUUUUAAGUAAAAAUAAGGUAAAAAUGUUAACAUGUAAUGAGUUUAUUUUUAUAUUUCAGUUAAUAUUUCUUAAAUUCCUCAGUUUUAAUUUCUAGCACAGUAAAUGUGUUAGCCCCCAUAAACAGGAGCUGUUUAGGUUCCUCAGUAAUUUUCAAGACUGUGAAAGUGUUCUGAGACCAUAAAGUCUAAGAACUGCUGCCCUUGAGAAACUCAUACAUGUGCUCUAGAUACCAUAAUGUUCUUAACAGAAUUUGUCUGUUAACAGUAGACUGAAUUAAGUGUGGUAUAUUCAUCUGGUAAAAUAGUAACCAGCAUCAGCAAGGGUAAAAAUCAAGCAAGUGAAAAAUAACAAAGUGGUAUAUUCUAUCAUUUGAAAAACAGCUUUUAUUUUUGUUUAAGUUCAGAAACAAGCAAAAUUAAACAGUAUAUUGUUGAGGGAUACAUAAAUAAAUGGUAAAAUUAAAGAGGCAAAGGAGUGACUAAGACAAAGUCACAAUGA